GAUGAACGCUAGCUACAGGCUUAACACAUGCAAGUCGAGGGACCGGCGCCCGGGUGAGUAACACGUAUCCAACCUGCCCUUUACUCGGGGAUAGCCUUUAGAAAGAAAGAUUAAUACCCGAUAUAAAGGAUGGGGAUGCUUUCCAUUAGGUUGUUGGUGAGGUAACGGCUCACCAAGCCUUCGAUGGAUAGGGGUUCUGAGAGGAAGGACCCCCACAUAUGAUCUGCGACACAGUCCAAACUGCUACGGGAGGCAGAAGUGAGUAAUAUUGGUCAAUGGGCGCUAGCCUGAACCAGCCGAGUAGCGUGAAGGAUGAAGGCUUAUGAGUCGUAAACUGCUGGUAUAGAAGAAGAUGUAUUAAAUGAAUAAGGAUCGGCUAACUACGUGCCAGCAGCCGCGGUAAUAC
rnacentral:rRNA from 1 species